rnacentral:rRNA from 1 species
UAGAGUUUGAUCGUGCUCAGGACGAACGCUGGCGGCGUGCCUAAUACAUGCAAGUCGAGCGGACCGACGGGAGCUUGCUCCCUUAGGUCAGCGGCGGACGGGUGAGUAACACGUGGGUAACCUGCCUGUAAGACUGGGAUAACUCCGGGAAACCGGGGCUAACACCGGAUGCUUGAUUGAACCGCAUGGUUCAAUCAUAAAAGGUGGCUUUUAGCUACCACUUGCAGAUGGACCCGCGGCGCAUUAGCUAGUUGGUGAGGUAACGGCUCACCAAGGCGACGAUGCGUAGCCGACCUGAGAGGGUGAUCGGCCACACUGGGACUGAGACACGGCCCAGACUCCUACGGGAGGCAGCAGUAGGGAAUCUUCCGCAAUGGACGAAAGUCUGACGGAGCAACGCCGCGUGAGUGAUGAAGGUUUUCGGAUCGUAAAACUCUGUUGUUAGGGAAGAACAAGUACCGUUCGAAUAGGGCGGUACCUUGACGGUACCUAACCAGAAAGCCACGGCUAACUACGUGCCAGCAGCCGCGGUAAUACGUAGGUGGCAAGCGUUGUCCGGAAUUAUUGGGCGUAAAGCGCGCGCAGGCGGUUUCUUAAGUCUGAUGUGAAAGCCCCCGGCUCAACCGGGGAGGGUCAUUGGAAACUGGGGAACUUGAGUGCAGAAGAGGAGAGUGGAAUUCUACGUGUAGCGGUGAAAUGCGUAGAGAUGUGGAGGAACACCAGUGGCGAAGGCGACUCUCUGGUCUGUAACUGACGCUGAGGCGCGAAAGCGUGGGGAGCGAACAGGAUUAGAUACCCUGGUAGUCCACGCCGUAAACGAUGAGUGCUAAGUGUUAGAGGGUUUCCGCCCUUUAGUGCUGCAGCAAACGCAUUAAGCACUCCGCCCUGGGGAGUACGGUCGCAAGACUGAAACUCAAAGGAAUUGACGGGGGCCCCGCACAGCGGUGGAGCAUGGUGGAUUAUUCGAGCACGCGAGACUUACCAGGUCUUGGACAUCUUCUGCACUCUAGAAGAAUAGGCUCCCCUCCGAGCAGAGUGACAGUGUUGCAUGGUGGUCGUUCAGCUCCGGUGUCUCGUGGAGAGG